CAGCACACGGUAAAACAGAGGGUGCAAGCGUUAAUCGGAAUUACUGGGCGUAAAGCGCGCGUAGGUGGUUUGUUAAGUUGGAUGUGAAAGCCCCGGGCUCAACCUGGGAACUGCAUCCAAAACUGGCAAGCUAGAGUACGGUAGAGGGUGGUGGAAUUUCCUGUGUAGCGGUGAAAUGCGUAGAUAUAGGAAGGAACACCAGUGGCGAAGGCGACCACCUGGGCUCAUACUGACACUGAGGUGCGAAAGCGUGGGGAGCAAACAGGAUUAGAUACCCGUGUAGUCCCUGUCUCUUAUACAC
rnacentral:rRNA from 1 species